rnacentral:rRNA from 1 species
AUUGAACGCUGGCGGCAUGCUUUACACAUGCAAGUCGAACGGUAACAGGCCGCAAGGUGCUGACGAGUGGCGAACGGGUGAGUAAUGCAUCGGAACGUGCCCAGUCGUGGGGGAUAACGCAGCGAAAGCUGCGCUAAUACCGCAUACGAUCUAUGGAUGAAAGCGGGGGACCGUAAGGCCUCGCGCGAUUGGAGCGGCCGAUGUCAGAUUAGGUAGUUGGUGGGGUAAAGGCGCACCAAGCCAACGAUCUUUAGCUGGUCUGAGAGGACGACCAGCCACACUGGGACUUAGGCACGGCCCAGACUCCUACGGGAGGCAGCAGUGGGGAAUUUUGGACAAUGGGCGCAAGCCUGAUCCAGCAAUGCCGCGUGCAGGAAGAAGGCCUUCGGGUUGUAAACUGCUUUUGUACGGAACGAAACGGUCCUGGUUAAUACCUGGGGCUAAUGACGGUACCGUAAGAAUAAGCACCGGCUAACUACGUGCCAGCCGCCGCAGUAAAAC